CACGGGGGAGUGGCCUCCCCCCACAGCUAGCGUGGGGGCUCCCAGCACACGCAGGCCUCGCAGGGCAGCCAUGCCCAUUGCAGGGCCGUGGGGCCAUCCCGGGUGAGGGCUCCUCCCUGGCCCUGCCCGUCCAGCUGCAGUGGCCAGACGGGCUCAGUCAGCCCUCUGCCCACGGCCUGUGCCUUGUUUUCACUUCUUCAAAGUGAGCCCAGGAAAUGCUGCCUGGCGUCCCUCCCUAAUCCUCCUCUGUACAGCUUGAACCGCUGGGAGGGUUCCAGCCCGAUGGCCUACAUUCACUCCCUGAAGCCCCAGCUCCUGAGGAGCAUCUAAAAAUAGGGUGUGACCAGCUGGAUGCGGACGGGUCCUUGGCACUGUCCGGAAAGAGGCCUGGGAGCUGCAGCUUGUCAUCUGUUACCCACAGAAGCAGGAGAGAAGGACCUCGUCAAGCUCAAGGGACCCACAGGAUGAAAGCACUAGAGGGCUUCCAGGAGAGCGCCUGAGAGAGGGCCGAGUCAGCUCAGAGCGUCCCCACUGCCCUGGCCUGUCCCCUUCCCCCAAUCUGGAAUACAGACGUGAAGGAGGGAGCCCCAGCAACCAUUUUUAACCAUGAGGCAGCCACGAGAAUGGUGGAGUAGCAAGUUGCCACAGCACCCUACAAGGCGGAUCUUACCAACCUCUGUCCAAUGAGGAGAGUGAAGUCAGAGGGUCAGCGACCUGCUCAGAGAGCCACAGCGACAAGCAGCGCCAGGGUAGAACCCAGGUCUGUGGACUCCCAGGCACCCUCCUGGCCAAGGGCUCCCCAAGCACGUGAGAGGCAACAAGAGUCUUAGACACACAGGCGCCCCACACGACGAGGCUGGUGGCCAGUCUGAGGAGUGUGUGCGGCGUGAACGUCCGGGAUAAUAGUGGGGCUCGCCUCUGGGUGGCUGCGUGGGACUCUAGAGGCCUGUGUCCCCGUGAGAGGCCCGGCUCUCAAACCGCACCAGCACCCGUGGCACCUGGUAUGCAGGCCGUGCUCCCCACGCGCUCAUGGCCCUCUCGGAGCGCAGCACCAGGCUGCGCUCAGGACACAGGUGGCCGUGCCUCCCCUCCAGCAUGUCAUACCUCCUUUUUCUGAUGAUAAGUAAAAUACAGGAAGGGGCGCCCGGGUGGUGCAGUCGGUGAAGCGUCCGACUCUUGGUUUCAGCUCAGGUCAUGAUUCCAGGGUCCUAGGAGCCAGCCCGCCCCGGGCUCCAUGCUCAUUGUCGGGGGGCCUGCUUGGGACCUUCUCCCUCCCUCUGCCGACCCCCCUCCGCGUGCUUGUGCUCAGGCGCAUGCGCACACUC